rnacentral:lncRNA from 1 species
UUCAUACAACCUGGAAAUUUCAUUCAAACAUACAAAAAUAUUUAUACAAAUUCCAUACAAAUAUCCAAAACAUUCAACCAAUCAUACCAUUCAAAAAAUAUAUAUAACCAAUUCAUGUCAUUCAAAACAAAACAAAACCAAAUAUAAAAAAAGAGGAACCUAUUUGUUGGUGUCGGUCACGCUCUUAGUCGCGCUAUUAGUCGCGCUUUUAGUCGCACUUUUGCCAACAUUUUCGACAUUCAAAUCUCUUAUAAUAGGCGUGAUUAUGUUGUCGUGUCCUUGGCUCGACUGGCCCUAAUGUAAAAAAAAAUUGAAAUUACAAAGAAAAUAUGAAUAUUGAUAUAUAUAAAUGCUAAUUACCUCAAUCGUCUCUCGUCGUAAAUCUUCCCUUACUUCCUUAAGUAUAUCCGGCAUUUAUUUUCUAAUGACUUCUUGGACUGCUUGAUCAAACUCUUUAUUUUUUUGUCGUUGAAUUUGUAUAAAAUCUGACGUUGUGUUCUGUGAAGUCGCCAAAUUAGUAGGAUUUGGUAAUGGCAUUAGAUCACUUGCUCUGGUUCCAAGCACACAACCUUUCUUUUUUCCCUCAGUAGCUUUCACCCAUAAUUCUAAAUUAUCAGGGAGUGUGUGUGAUCCAUUUGAUGAGUUGAUCUCAACACUAGCGGCUUCCAUAGCAUUUCUUUGGAGCUCAUUAUAGUCAGCCUAUAAAAAUGAAAAUAAAUAAUAAAUAAUAUGACUUAAAUUUCUUAAAAUACUUAAAAUAAUAUGACUUAAAAUUCCAUUGAAUCAAAAAAAGGAGGAAAAAUCUUCUCUGAUCUAUACAUAGUCUCGACAAUGGAUUUUCCAAGUGCUCUCAUUUAAGAUUCUUUCAAAGUAGGGGAACAAAUUUUACUAAAGAAAUGGCUAACUUUUGUUAAUACUUCAUUAAUUUCUUUAGGUAACAAAUCGAUGAAAGCAAUUGGUAAUAAUCUUUGCAUGAACACAUGACAGUCAUGAGACUUCAUACCUGAGAAUUUGCAAUCUUCGACGCUUGCACAUCUAGAUAUA